rnacentral:rRNA from 1 species
AGGAUGAACGCUGGCGGCGUGCCUAACACAUGCAAGUCGAACGGAGUAAUUAAGCGGAAGUUUCGGAUGGAAGCAUAGUACUUAGUGGCGGACGGGUGAGUAACGCGUGGGCAACCUGCCCUGUACCGGGGGAUAACACUUAGAAAUAGGUGCUAAUACCGCAUAAGCGCACAGCUUCGCAUGAAGGUGUGUGAAAAAACUCCGGUGGUACAGGAUGGACCCGCGUCUGAUUAGCUAGUUGGUGGGGUAGAGGCCUACCAAGGCGACGAUCAGUAGCCGGCCUGAGAGGGUGACCGGCCACAUUGGGACUGAGACACGGCCCAAACUCCUACGGGAGGCAGCAGUGGGGAAUAUUGCACAAUGGGGGAAACCCUGAUGCAGCGACGCCGCGUGAGUGAAGAAGUAUUUCGGUAUGUAAAGCUCUAUCAGCAGGGAAGAAAAUGACGGUACCUGACUAAGAAGCCCCGGCUAACUACGUGCCAGCAGCAGC